rnacentral:tRNA from 1 species
GCGCGUAGCUCAGUUGGUUAGAGCGCACGACUGAUAAUCGUGAGGUCGGCAGUUCAAAUCUGCCCGUGCCUACCAAU